AUGGGUGAUUACGAAUCUAGUAUUAGUGUAAAUAAGUUGGACUAUUUGAAAAUCUGCACGGAUCAAUACUGCAUUAGCUAUUAAUGGAUUAACACCAUUACUCAUUGCAAGGCUUAAUCAUCAAGAUGCCAUAGCUCGUCUUAAUUUACUCAAGCUGAUAAAGGCUGUUUAUGAGCAUCACCCUCAACCCAAGAAACUGAUUGUGGAGAAUGAUUUACCUCAAAAACUUCAAAACUUAAUAGGGGAGCGAAGAGAUGGACAAGUCUUGGUGAAACAAAUGGCUACUUCAUUACUUAAAGCUCUGCAUAUAAACACUGUUUUGUAAAGUCAAAUCUCAAUAGCUCACAUCCUUUAUGUGUAUAUUCUAAUUUAUUGCUGCAAAAAUUGUUAUAUUUAUAUAAAGUUUUCACCAUAUGUGGUUUUCUCAUUUUUAUUUCCCACAGUUAAGUGGGGCAAAAUAACUUACUAACCCUUGUCUUUUUUUCUCAACUUGUGUGUCAAUUUUAUUUCUACUCUC